rnacentral:misc_RNA from 1 species
GAUGAAGAACGUAGCGAAAUGCGAUAAGUAAUGUGAAUUGCAGAAUUCAGUGAAUCAUCGAAUCUUUGAACGCACCUUGCGCCCUUUGGCUAUUCCGAAGGGCAUGCCUGUUUGAGUAUCAUGAACACCUCAACUCUUUAUGGUUUUCCAUGAAGGGCUUGGACUUUGGGGGUCUUGCUGGCCUUUAGUCAGCUCCUCUCAAACGAAUCAGCUUUCCAGUGUUUGGCAGCGUCACAGGUGUGAUAACUAUCUACGCUUGUGGUUUUCUGCCAGGUAAUCCUCAGUGAUGGGGAUUCGCUGGGGCUUAUAAAUGUCUCUCCUCAGAGAAGACAGCUUUGUGAACGUUUGAUCUCAAAUCAGGUAGGACUACCCGCUGAACUUAAGCAUAUCAAUAAGCGGAGGA